CCUACGGGCGGCUGCAGUGGGGAAUAUUGGACAAUGGGGGGAACCCUGAUCCAGCCAUGCCGCGUGUGUGAAGAAGGCCCUCGGGUUGUAAAGCACUUUCAGUGAGGAAGAACGCCUGGUGGUUAAUACCCAUCAGGAAAGACAUCACUCACAGAAGAAGCACCGGCUAACUCCGUGCCAGCAGCCGCGGUAAUACGGAGGGUGCGAGCGUUAAUCGGAAUUACUGGGCGUAAAGCGCGCGUAGGUGGCUUGAUAAGCCGGUUGUGAAAGCCCCGGGCUCAACCUGGGAACGGCAUCCGGAACUGUCAAGCUAGAGUGCAGGAGAGGAAGGUAGAAUUCCCGGUGUAGCGGUGAAAUGCGUAGAGAUCGGGAGGAAUACCAGUGGCGAAGGCGGCCUUCUGGACUGACACUGACACUGAGGUGCGAAAGCGUGGGUAGCAAACAGGAUUAGAGCCGAGUAGUC
rnacentral:rRNA from 1 species